CCUACGGGUGGCAGCAGUGAGGAAUAUUGGUCAAUGGCCGGAAGGCUGAACCAGCCAAGCCGCGUGAAGGACGAAGGUGCCAAGCAUUGUAAACUUCUUUUGUCAAGGGACAAAAUCAGGCUCGAGAGCCUGACCGAGGGUACUUGAAGAAAAAGCAUCGGCUAACUCCGUGCCAGCAGCCGCGGUAAUACGGAGGAUGCGAGCGUUAUCCGGAUUUAUUGGGUUUAAAGGGUGCGUAGGCGGUCUUGCAAGUCAGACGUGAAAACCACAGGCUCAACCUGUGGACUGCGUUUGAAACUGUGGGGCUUGAGUGAAGUAGAGGUAGGCGGAAUUCCCGGUGUAGCGGUGAAAUGCGUAGAGAUCGGGAGGAACACCAGUGGCGAAGGCGGCCUACUGGGCUUUAACUGACGCUGAGGCACGAAAGCAUGGGUAGCAAACAGGAUUAGAUACCCCAGUAGUC
rnacentral:rRNA from 1 species